rnacentral:rRNA from 1 species
ACGUCCGUAGCCGGUUUGGUACAUUCGUGGGUAAAUCAACUCGCUCAACGAGUUGAAUUCUGCGAGGACGGCCAGACUUGGGACCGGGAGAGGUGUGGGGUACUCUCAGGGUAGGGGUAAAAUCCUGUCAUCCUGAGAGGACCACCUGUUGCGAAGGCGCCACACUAGAACGGAUCCGACGGUCAGGGACGAAGCCUAGGGGCACGAACCGGAUUAGAUACCCGGGUAGUCCUAGGUGUAAACGCUGUGGACUUGAUGUUGGAGAAGCUCCGAGCUUCUUCAGUGUCGAAGCGAAGGUGAUAAGUCCACUGCCUGGGAAGUACGGUCGCAAGGCUGAAACUUAAAGGAAUUGGCGGGGGAGCACCGCAACCUGAGGAUUGUGCGGUUUAAUUGGAUUCAACGCCGGAAAACUCACCAUAGCCGACGGACAUAUGAAGGUCAGUGUAAUGAACUUACCGGAUUGUUCGAGAGGUAGUGCAUGGCCGCCGUCAGUUCGUACCGUAAGGCGUUCUGUUAAGUCAGAUAACGAACGAGACCCUCAUCUCUAUUUGCCACCAGAUCUCUGGAUCUGAAGGGACUAUAGAGAGACCGCUAGCGCGAAGUUAGAGGAAGGGGAGGGCAACGGUAGGUCAGUAUGCUCCGAAUGCUAUGGGCUACACGCGCAAUACAAAGGACGGGACAAUGGGCUGCUACUCCGAAAGGAAUGACGCUAUCCCGAAACCCGUUCGUAGUUCGGAUUGAGGGCUGUAACUCGCCCUCAUGAAGCUGGAUUAGGUAGUAAUCGCGUCUCAAUAAGGCGCGGUGAAUAUGCCCCUGCUCCUUGCACACACCGCCCGUCAAACCAUCUUAGUUGUGGGUGGGUGAGGCUACCU